UACGUAGGGGGCAAGCGUUGUCCGGAAUUAUUGGGCGUAAAGAGCGUGUAGGCGGCCGGGUAAGUCCGGUGUGAAAACUCGAGGCUUAACCUCGAGAUGUCAUCGGAAACUAUUCGGCUAGAGUCCGGAAGAGGAGAGUGGAAUUCCUGGUGUAGCGGUGAAAUGCGCAGAUAUCAGGAAGAACACCUAUGGCGAAAGCAGCUCUCUGGGACGGUACUGACGCUGAGACGCGAAAGCGUGGGGAGCGAACAGG
rnacentral:rRNA from 1 species